UACAGAGGUCCCAAGCGUUGUUCGGAUUCACUGGGCGUAAAGGGUGCGUAGGCGGUCGGGUAAGUCUGAUGUGAAAUCUCACAGCUUAACUGUGAAACUGCAUUGGAUACUAUCCGGCUCGAGGAAUGGAGGGGAGACUGGAAUACUUGGUGUAGCAGUGAAAUGCGUAGAUAUCAAGUGGAACACCAGUGGCGAAGGCGAGUCUCUGGACACAUAUUGACGCUGAGGUGCGAAAGCGUGGGGAGCAAACAGG
rnacentral:rRNA from 1 species